rnacentral:rRNA from 1 species
AUUAUUUCUAGUAUUAUAUGUGUAUUUUAUUGUUUCCAGUACGUAUUUCUGUUUUACUAAUUGGUUUAUGUUUAUUUGGGUGAAAACUUUUGUUGUUAAUGGGGUUUUACGUGUGUGCGAUUAUAUAUUAAUAUGAGUUUAUGUUGUUUAUUAUUAUGUUAGAUUCUUUUGAGGAAUUCGGCAAAGUUUUAUGUCCGCCUGUUUAACAAAAACAUCUUUUCUUGUUAGUUUUUGAAGUAUGACCUGCCCACUGACUUAUUUGUUGAAGGGCCGCGGUAUUUUGACCGUGCAAAGGUAGCAUAAUCAUUAGUUCUUUAAUUGUGAUCUGGUAUGAAUGGUUUGACGAGGCAUAAUCUGUCUUAUAUUAGUUGAAUAAUUUGGUUGAAUUUGGUCUUUGAGUUAAAAUACUUAGAUGUUUUUAUGGGACGAGAAGACCCUAUAGAGUUUGACAUUUAAAUAUUUAUUUGCUGUUGUUUGUUUGUUUGUUUUGAUUGAGUAAGUUAAAUGUUUUGUUGGGGUGAUGGGAGGAAUUUAUGUAACUCCUCUUUAUUUAUUUAUAUUUAUGUAUAUUUGUUUUGAUCCAUUUAUUUUGAUUAUAAGAUUAAAUUACCUUAGGGAUAACAGCGUUAUCUUCCCUGAGAGUUCUUAUUGGCGGGAAGGGUUGCGACCUCGAUGUUGGAUUAAGAUGAAUUUUUGGUGCAGGAGCUGAAAUGAUUAGGUCUGUUCGACCUUUAAAAUCUUACAUGAUCUGAGUUCAGACCGGCGUGAGCCAGGUUGGUUUCUAUCUAUAAUGAUAUUUUAUAUCUUAGUACGAGAGGACCGGGUAUUUGGAAUAAUUUUAUUUAUUAUGAUUAUUAAUAAUGUUGCUAUUUUGGCAGAUAAGUGCAU